rnacentral:rRNA from 2 species
GGGCCCGCACAAGCGGUGGAGUAUGUGGUUUAAUUCGAAGCAACGCGAAGAACCUUACCAAGACUUGACAUCCCGAUGCAACACCCAGAAAUGGGUGCCUCUUCGGACAUCGGUGACAGGUGGUGCAUGGUUGUCGUCAGCUCGUGUCGUGAGAUGUUGGGUUAAGUCCCGCAACGAGCGCAACCCUUGCCUUCAGUAGCCAUCAGUUUAGCUGGGCACUCUGGAGGGACUGCCGCGGACAACGCGGAGGAAGGUGGGGAUGACGUCAAAUCAUCAUGCCCCUUACGUCUUGGGCUACACACGUACUACAAUGGCCGAAACAAAGUGAUGCAAACCCGCGAGGGCUAGCCAAGCACAAAAAAUCGGUCACAGUUCGGAUAGCACUCUGCAACUCGAGUGCUUGAAGCUGGAAUCGCUAGUAAUCGCAGGUCAGCAUACUGCGGUGAAUACG